rfam:Streptomyces griseus subsp. griseus NBRC 13350 DNA, complete genome.
CUUGAUCGAGCCGAGGCGCAGCGGUCGUUCCGUGCUCCGGCGGCGGCCGUAGGUGGCGAGGAGGGCCUGCGCCUC